rnacentral:lncRNA from 1 species
CCGUGGCACACAUCUCCAGGAUGUGCCUUAAGGUCGUGUCAAUGAUAGCGCCCUUCUCCAACCUCUGUGCAGUCAACAUCUCCGGCAACUUCAUGGGUAAGCAAGCACUGCCGCUGCCGGUCAGUAAGAUCGACAGAACAUUGUCAAUUGCUACUGCACCAAACAAUAGUACUUUCAGUAUUCCUUGACGGCUUCUUCUCCAAACAAGGUAGUAAGAUAUGACGGAUUGAAUGAUUUGAAAAUUGGUAACUUCUUUGCUUCAAAGUUGUUGACUGACCUUGUGAAUUGGUGUUUUAUAGGUGGUGUAUGAAGUUGCUAAUGAAGGGCCACGACCUGAAAUUCCCGAAGGGACUCUUUGCAACUUAAUUGCGGGUGAUGUUACUUUGUGAUGUGAUGUUCUGUUUUCCAGAUUUCGGGUGGAAUAAGUGUAGACUCACGUCAGCUUAUUCUG